UACAAUAGCACCAUCUCUCUACAGUCAUGAUACAUGCCUGAUCUCAUCUGAUCUCAGAAGCUAAGCAGUGUUGGGGCUGGUUAGUACUAGGAUGGGAGACCACCAUGGAAUACCAGGUGCUGUAGGCA
rnacentral:rRNA from 1 species